CUUCUGAUGGCGAUCCGUGGGAGCACGCUUUGGGGAUGAGCAUCGGCGUCGUAUUCGCCAACCAGAUGGUGAAGUGGGAGAAGAAGCUGAAGGAGGACCUCGACAAGAUCGUCGAGAAGGCCUAGACAGCCAACGAACGCAGUGUUGACUUGAUAGCUGCCAUCUACAAAUCGGUCAUCCUCGCAACGCAAUCCCUCCACCUCAUCCCUCUCUUCCAAUUUCUCCGAUUCUCUUCGGACUCUUCGAUUUCUACCUGCAAUUUUUCUCCGGUCGAUUCCUUUAUUCCCCGCAGCGGCCAGCUCGAGAUUUCUCGACGGUGGCGUCGCGAUCUCAUGGUAGAAGAACAACGGUGAGGUUCUCAGAUGGAUGGCGAAUCCCAGGAUUUCUCCCUUGAAUCACCAUUGUCUCAAGAACGUUCACCACGAAACCAAAGUUUAUUUCCUUAUCAAGGCCAGCAGGAGUUCGAUGCUUGAUAUGCACAAGAACUUUUUCUUUGGAGGCAGAUGUAAAUGAUGGUUUUGAAGCAAUACAUAUUUGUAGAGAGUGUAAAAUUAUGAUCCUUGAAGAUAAUCAGACAAAUUUGAACAUAAGAGAUAUUCACCGACUAAGGCGGCAUAGCAGAGAUAGGUUUAGAAGUCUAGAAACAAUGGAGGAUUCAUUCUCUCGUAGAUUUUCACAACUGAUUAAUUUGGCAACCCAUAAUGAUGACGAAACACAAGUUGGAGGCAGUGGUACUCCUCUUACUUCUCAUCGACAUGGGAGCUAUUAUGCAGCUCGAAGCAGGUCCAAGAGACACAAAUUACAUUAUUUGAUAAUUGACAGUGAUGUUCUUGAACAAUCAAACUCCAUGUUCGGAGAAUCUGACUCAAAAUUAAGUUUUGGUAGUUAUGGUGGAGACUCAGAUACCUCUAUGGAUCGACAUAGUUUAUUUGACAGACUUAUUUUUGCAACUUGAGAAUGGAAGCUCUGCUUCUAGUGACAUAGACAUCGACCCAAUGCAUGCAGGACUAGAUCAGUGGAACUCUGAUAACCAAGUCGAAGAAGAUAGAGAUUGGGAAGAGGCUAUUUGGGAAGGAAACAGAUCGGUUGACAUCACAGGAGUUGCUCAAGCACAAUAUGCUGAUGAUUUUGCUGACUUCAAAGAGUCAAAGUUUCGAAUAACUUACAUUGGGAAUCCAGAAGACUAUGUCGAUGCAAGGGGGUUUGAUGAACUACUCGAGCAGCUUGCAGAGGCCGAUAGCUCAAGAAGAGGUGCAGCUCCUGCGGCUGCAUCGAUUGUGAGAGAUCUCCCAUCUGUAGUCAUUGCAAAUGAACAUGAGAUUUGUUCAGUCUGCAAGGAUCCAUUGGUUGUUCAUACAAAAGCAAAGGAGCUUCCCUGCAACCACCUAUACCAUCCUUUCUGCAUCUUGCCAUGGUUAAAGUGAGGAACUCAUGCCUGAUUUGCAGGCAUGAGCUUCCAACCGAUGAUCCAGAGUACGAAGAGGGGACUGAGGAAGCUCAUGACUUCAAUGAUGCAAGGAAUGAGCCAGGUAGUGUGGAGGAGCACCGUCGGGUGCCAACUCAAUCGAGGGGUGGAGGUAACGGAGUCUGCUGGUUGUUUUUAGCUGCGGUUCCAAUUAUUUGUAUCAUCAGAAUCAUUCUUGCUUCCUUGUUGAAAAAACCUACCGGCGAUGUACAAAUCCCGAGCAAUGUUAGGGAACAGCAUCCAAUCACUGUGGGCACAAAUAGGAGGUGGUGGUGGUCCUUCUUUUAAUUCCAUUCCUCUCUUUCUAUUGUUCAAGUUUGUGGUCUUUCUUCCCCUCUUAUUGUAACAUCGAUUUAAUGAUAUAAGUUUCAGACUUUAUCUUAUUAAAUCUUGUAUAUAUGAAUCCAAGAUGAGAUCACAGAGCUCGAUAACACUUGAUGA